GCAUUCUUAGCUCAAUAGGAUAGAGCAGUGGCCUUCUAAGCCAAUGGUUAUAGGUUCGACUCCUAUAGAAUGUA
rnacentral:tRNA from 1 species